UACGAGUGGUGCAAACGUUAUUCGGAAUAAUUGGGCGUAAAGGGUGUGUAGACGGCGUAUUAAGUCAACUGUUAAAUUCUCCGGCCUAACCGAAGGCAAGCGGUAGAAACUGAUAUGCUAGAGGGUGGAAGAGAGAAGUGGAAUUCUCGGAGUAGCGGUAAAAUGCGUAGAUCUCGAGAGGAACACCGAUGGCGAAGGCAGCUUCUUAGUCCAUUCCUGACGUUGAAACACGAAAGCGUGGGGAGCAAACAGG
rnacentral:rRNA from 1 species